AUUGAACGCUGGCGGCAGGCCUAACACAUGCAAGUCGAACGAGUGGCGGACGGGUGAGUAAUGUCGGGGAAACUGCCCGAUGGAGGGGGAUAAAUACUGGAAAAGGUAGCUAAUACCGCAUACGAUCGGAUGUGCUCAGGUUGGAUUAGCUAGUAGGUGGGGUAACGGCUCACCUAGGCGAAGAUCCCUAGCUGGUCUGAGAGGAUGACAAGCCACACUGGAACUGAGACACGGUCCAGACUCCUACGGUAGGCAGCAGUGGGGAAUAUGGCACAAUGGACGCAAGCCUGAUGCAGCCAUGCCGCGUGUAUGAAGAAGGCCUUCGGGUUGUAAAGUACUUUCAUCGGGGAGGCGUUACUCGAAGAAGAAGCACCGGCUAACUCCGUGCCAGCAGCCGCGGUAAUAC
rnacentral:rRNA from 1 species